AUGAAUUACUGGUAAGAAAUGUUCCACUGAACAGGCAUAGCAUGGGCAGCAGCACUGAAAUGUCUCCCAUAUUACUUCACCAAUGUGCCUUAAUUCUGACCUGGUACAUCUUUGGACAAGAAUGUGUUUCUUUCUUCAUGCCUAGUCAUUAUUUGGUUGAU
rnacentral:sRNA from 1 species